GAAAUGAGCGGUAAGUCCGCUGUAGGUGGUUCUAGGUGUUCCCUUCCGUAGGUUGGCCAUAGCCUAGACAUAACGAGCCUGCAGGGCACGCUCAUUUU
rnacentral:sRNA from 12 species